rnacentral:lncRNA from 1 species
AGCAAGUUAGUAUUAUGGCUAAGAUUUACUUGAGUCGAGGGCCACCAUUGAUUGCCAGUGGGCACCAUUGGUUGUAAUUUGCCAUCUACCUCCUUUGACCACACGGUAGCUAAAUUGGAAUUUGCUACCUUGUAAGUGGCAAUUCUCUACAUUAUUGUGCAAGUUGUCAUGCAUCUACAUCGUGUCCGUUUUCAACUUUAUGCAAGCUAAUGUGCAAGUUGCAUUUUACUUUCCAACCAUAUGCUAGUUGGCAAUGACACUUUAAAUGCAAGUGGAUAAUCUCUACAAUUCAUAUGCAAGUGGACCUGUCCUUAUCAUAGUGGCCAAGUUGGACUUUGCUUUUUUCCUUCAAGCUUGUAGUAGUCAUUCUAACUUGGCUUCCUUGAGCAAGUGUAUAAGUUGGCGCCUAUUUGCGUCUAAAACAAUCGGCCACAGUCUACUGUAUAAAGUGUUUUCACCUUAGAAAAAUCUAAAUUCCAUCCCAACGCCCCUUGUUGGCAUUUUUCUAGUCUGCGUCUUGUUUGCACAGCCUGUUUGCAUUUGUUGCCUACACAGUUUGCCAACAUUAUUGGUUGCAUCCCCUAUCGCAAUGCUUGCAUAUUCUUCCUGCCUAUGUUCCUGCAUUUCCUAUCAUAGGGAGUUACGUCAAGCCGUACCAUACCACUUCACAACUUGAUUUUUCCAGUCGCAACUUGGAUGUAUUGGCUAUAACCAUGAGGAGGUAAGUCACUCUCCUAUCAAAUUAGGCAACUCCCUCAUCCCAAUAUAACGUACAGCCUGUUUGCAUUUGUUGCCUACACAGUUUGCCAACAUUAUUGGUUGCAUCCCCUAUCGCAAUGCUUGCAUAUUCUUCCUUGCCUAUGUUCCUGCAUUUCCUAUCAUAGGGAGUUACGUCAAGCCGUACCAUACCACUUCACAACUUGAUUUUUCCAGUUGCAACUUGGAUGUAUUGGCUAUAACCAUGAGGAGGUAAGUCACUCUCCUAUCAAAUUAGGCAACUCCCUCAUCCCAAUAUAACGCCAAAACUUAGACUUAAUUUGCCAUGGUCUACUUCAUUUUCUCUUCUUUGUGUCAUGACAUUCUUACAUCAUGUCAAACCUCGAGUCAUGAUAAGUUUGAGCGUGACAUUGUGAUACCACUUGUUUCAGGCUUAGUUUCAUAACUCCCAAACCGUGCUAGCACCAUGCAGCUUAGCACUCCACAACUCCCAGGUUGCGAUCAAUUCGUCUCGACAGCGAUCGCAAAACAGUGCAGACAAGGCACUUUUAUAAGACGAAAUUGCUUGCGGCAAGGGACGCGGGUAGGAAAUGGAGGCAGACUAUACAGGCAGGACAUAGGCUGGAGGAUGUAGGUAGCUGUGCAGUUACGAAAAUGAGGUCUUUUCUAAGUUAAAAACCAUAGUUUGAGGAAGAUAAUAUCGUGGACUGCAGCCGAUUGUUUUGAAUGCAAGUGGACAACAACUUGUACAACUUGCAUGAAAAAGCAAUGUCCAACUUGACUACAACAAAGUUUGAUGGAAGAACCAAUGUUCAAAUUGGCUACUAUAAUAGGGACAUGCCCACUUGCACAUGAGCUGUUGAGAUUUGUCACUAGAAUUGAAAAGGAUAUGCCAACUAGUAUAGAGUUGGAUAGGGAUAUGUACCUUGUAACAUGACUACUUGCAAAGAAGCAAAAUCCAGUUUGAUUACCACUUGCUCAAAUGAGGUUAGUUGCAACUUGCAUAAAGGUGGCAUGCAACUUGCAACCAUUGAUGACCUUUGGAUCAAGUUAAUCCUGAAUAUUAAUUCCAACUUGUUAUUCAAGAGUUUGCCUAUAAAUAGAGGUAGUUCAUUUGUAAAUCAUAAGGAGUGAAGUGAAAAUAUAUUUAGAGAGAUUGUAAAGUUUCUCUCAUUUAUACAAAGGAGAUUUUUCCCAAACUUAUUGUCUUGUUACUUUCCUUAUAAUUUCAUUCUCUAUUCAAAGUUAUCAUAUAAUUUAACUCCAAAGGUUGAAUUAACGUGGGUGUUAGAAAGGCUGAUUUAACGUUUUCUUGCGGGGACGGGAAUUAUGAAAUGUGAAAGCCGUACAGUACUUGUAAGUUUGGGUGUAACUAAAAUAAGUCCAUGACAAUUAGCACUGUUACUAUAUAAUUCCAUGGCUGGCGUCCAUCUUGUAAUUAAUGAACUGUUGUUUUCAACUAUUGCUCAUAGUUGAAAUACUAAUAUAUUUUCUAAGGAUGCAUAUUCUAUCUAUUUCAUAAUCUUGGAUUAGAAGCUACAAAUAAAUUAUCUUGUUACUAAUUGUCCAACUGUGCAAUGCACGGACUAUGUCAUUUUUUAGGUAAUAUUAAAUUAUUAACGUGUCAAAAUAUCUAUUCAGUUCUCUCAAUAAAUUUACAAAUUUGAUUAAUUGUUUAAAAUGAUAAAUGGAAAUGAAAUCUUCAUAUAUGACACACUUUUGACAUUAAAAAAAAAUUAAAAUUUUAUUAGGAAAUUUUCUAAAUGACGUCAAAAAUUUUAUUAGAUUAUUUAAAAACUUAAUUGAUCGAGAGGAAAAAGUAACAAUAAGGAAAAAAAUUCUAAAAAUGAUCGAAUUUCUUUUAUAUACAAAAUAUUUUCAGAUGUUAAAAUAUCAAGAUGAAAAAUUAGUUGGCCUCAAUUUUGUGUUGCUAUUAUUGAAAUGUAUUUUCUGGG